UGAAAGGGAAACGUCUUUGAGGUGGA
rnacentral:piRNA from 1 species